UACAGAGGGUGCGAGCGUUAAUCGGAAUUACUGGGCGUAAAGCGCACGUAGGCGGCUUUGCAAGUCGGGUGUGAAAUCCCCGGGGUCAACCUGGGAACUGCAUCCGAGACUGCUUUGCUCGAGUAUGGGAGAGGGAAGUGGAAUUUCCGGUGUAGCGGUGAAAUGCGUAGAUAUCGGAAGGAACAUCAGUGGCGAAGGCGACUUCCUGGACCAAUACUGACGCUCAGGUGCGAAAGCGUGGGGAGCAAACAGG
rnacentral:rRNA from 1 species